CAUACGGGUGGCUGCAGUGGGGAAUAUUGGACAAUGGGCGAAAGCCUGAUCCAGCCAUGCCGCGUGUGUGAAGAAGGCCUUCGGGUUGUAAAGCACUUUCAGUGGGGAAGAAAGCCUUGGGGCUAAUACCCUCGAGGAAGGACAUCACCCACAGAAGAAGCACCGGCUAACUCCGUGCCAGCAGCCGCGGUAAUACGGAGAGUGCGAGCGUUAAUCGGAAUUACUGGGCGUAAAGCGCGCGUAGGCGGUCUGAUAAGCCGGUUGUGAAAGCCCCGGGCUCAACCUGGGAACGGCAUCCGGAACUGUCAGGCUAGAGUGCAGGAGAGGAAGGUAGAAUUCCCGGUGUAGCGGUGAAAUGCGUAGAGAUCGGGAGGAAUACCAGUGGCGAAGGCGGCCUUCUGGACUGACACUGACGCUGAGGUGCGAAAGCGUGGGUAGCAAACAGGAUUAGAUACCCUUGUAGUC
rnacentral:rRNA from 1 species